AGGGGCUUAGGAUAAUAGUAGACCAAAGGCCUUCAAAGCCCUAAGUGGGAGUGAAAAUCUCUCAGCCCUUG
rnacentral:tRNA from 1 species